AGCAGCCGCGCGUGGCUGUGCAAGGAGCGCUGGAGCAGCUCCGCCGCUCGCGGCCAGUCCCCCGAGAAGUAGGCCCGCACCCCGUCCGCGUACAGCAGGUCGAAGGGCCGGAGCGGGUCAAGGCAAGCCUCCCUUGAUUGAUCUCUAUAGCUGAACCUGCAAGCUGCUUUCAGAGUGUUCUAGAUAGAAAAAUGCCAAGACAUGCAUAUAUGUGCCCCAUGUAUGUAGAAAAGCAGCCUCCAAACUAGGUGAGUUGUGGACUUUAAAAAAUCCCAAAUGUUCCUAAUGCUGCCUGUCCGUGCCUCUUCAUUCAAUUGUGGGAGGAAGACAGCUUGGUACUGUUUUUAAGAUGGGGUGCAACAUUGAGAGGCAGCUGUUCAUCUGGACUAGUUGCAGGCACUUCAGAAUGGAUAACUGGAGCGAAUUUCAAUGGAAGAAACAGAAGCUAUGAAGAUGGAAAUGGACUGCCUGACACAAUAGAAAUGAUUGCUGAGAUUUCAGUUGACAUUUGACCCCAACUUAGCACUAAAAUACCAUCUCUCUAUCAUCUGUAACCUGCAAGUGGAGAUUGCUGUUGGCCCUGCAUGUAUUGUUGAGCCAGGUGUCACCCAUCCUGUAUCUGGGCAUUUAACUUUUACCUGCCUUAGUGUAGUAUCUUACUUUUCUCCUUGAUAAAAUUCAUUUCGUUAGUUUUGGCCCAGAUCUCUGACCUGUUAAGAUCAUUUUGAAUUAUGGUCAUGACUUUUGGAGUAUUAGCUACACCUCCAAAAUAGUGGCCUAUAUUUAUUUGUGAAGCAUUAUGGAAUGUUAGUAUGUUGUAUAUUUAUAAAAUGUAACAAUCUUUGA